rnacentral:rRNA from 1 species
UACAGAGGGUGCAAGCGUUAAUCGGAAUUACUGGGCGUAAAGGGUGAGUAGGUGGUAAAUUAAGUUAUAUGUGAAAUCUUUGAGCUUAACUCGGAAAGUGCAUAUAAUACUGGUUUACUAGAGUACUGUAGAGGGCGAUGGAAUUUCCGGUGUAGCGGUGAAAUGCGUAGAUAUCGGAAGGAACAUCAGUGGCGAAGGCGAUCGCCUGGACAGAUACUGACACUAAUACACGAAAGCGUGGGGAGCAAACAGGAUUAGAUACCCUGGUAGUCCACGCUGUAAACGAUGAGAACUUGCUGUUGGGCGCUGAAUAAGUGUUUAGUAGCGAAGUUAACGCGAUAAGUUCUCCGCCUGGGGAGUACGGCCGCAAGGUUAAA